rnacentral:rRNA from 1 species
UACGAAGGGGGCUAGCGUUGUUCGGAAUUACUGGGCGUAAAGGGCGCGUAGGCGGCACUGUUAGUCAGGCGUGAAAUUCCUGGGCUCAACCUGGGGACUGCGCUUGAUACGGCAGAGCUAGAGGAUGGAAGAGGCUCGCGGAAUUCCCAGUGUAGAGGUGAAAUUCGUAGAUAUUGGGAAGAACACCGGUGGCGAAGGCGGCGAGCUGGUCCAUUACUGACGCUGAGGCGCGACAGCGUGGGGAGCAAACAGG